rnacentral:lncRNA from 1 species
UACGAUAGGGGAAAGAGUUCGGAAGACAUCAACAUAUUGCUAGCCAAAAUGGAAUGAAAAUAACUUACCUUCAGAACAUGGAGGCAAAAGGGGAACUCAUGUUUGGCCUGUUGAUUUGUCCGAAAAAUAAAAAAUAUUCCAAGUUACAACAGAAAAGAGACCAAAAGCACUUCUAAAGAAGCAAUAAUUUUACUUGUAACAACCAUAUCAUCCUCUACCUUACCACUAAACAGUACCUAAAAAGGAGAAUUUUGUUACCAAAGUUAGCAUAAUCCAUCAUCUACUAAUGGGCAGAGAGUUAAAUUGUGGAGCUUGAUCCCCUGGCGCGUUUCAUUUACAAUAGCACAUAUAUACAAACUCCUCAUGUAUGCAUUGCAGCGAAUUGUGUCAUCCACGCGUCAGGUCAAUCUCGGUCUGGGAAUUUCUCACAUCUGUUCGGGAAGUUGGAGGCCAAACACCCCGACCAGACCCUGAAGUAGGACCUUGAUUCAGAGUGGCACUGACUGGUGUAGAUGACUUUUCAGCAGACUCCUGCUCGUCUCUAGUGCUACUUUCUGGUUUGCUCUAAACAAACCCCCAAAACACCCCCCCCCCCCCCCCCAAUUACGAUAGGGGAAAGAGUUCGGAAGACAUCAACAUAUUGCUAGCCAAAAUGGAAUGAAAAUAACUUACCUUCAGAACAUGGAGGCAAAAGGGGAACUCAUGUUUGGCCUGUUGAUUUGUCCGAAAAAUAAAAAAUAUUCCAAGUUACAACAGAAAAGAGACCAAAAGCACUUCUAAAGAAGCAAUAAUUUUACUUGUAACAACCAUAUCAUCCUCUACCUUACCACUAAACAGUACCUAAAAAGGAGAAUUUUGUUACCAAAGUUAGCAUAAUCCAUCAUCUACUAAUGGGCAGAGAGUUAAAUUGUGGAGCUUGAUCCCCUGGCGCGUUUCAUUUACAAUAGCACAUAUAUACAAACUCCUCAUGUAUGCAUUGCAGCGAAUUGUGUCAUCCACGCGUCAGGUCAAUCUCGGUCUGGGAAUUUCUCACAUCUGUUCGGGAAGUUGGAGGCCAAACACCCCGACCAGACCCUGAAGUAGGACCUUGAUUCAGAGUGGCACUGACUGGUGUAGAUGACUUUUCAGCAGACUCCUGCUCGUCUCUAGUGCUAC